UCCUACGGGAGGCAGCAGUAGGGAAUCUUCCGCAAUGGACGAAAGUCUGACGGAGCAACGCCGCGUGAGUGAUGAAGGUUUUCGGAUCGUAAAACUCUGUUGUUAGGGAAGAACAAGUGCCGGAGUAACUGCCGGCACCUUGACGGUACCUAACCAGAAAGCCACGGCUAACUACGUGCCAGCAGCCGCGGUAAUACGUAGGUGGCAAGCGUUGUCCGGAAUUAUUGGGCGUAAAGCGCGCGCAGGCGGUUCCUUAAGUCUGAUGUGAAAGCCCACGGCUCAACCGUGGAGGGUCAUUGGAAACUGGGGAACUUGAGUGCAGAAGAGGAGAGUGGAAUUCCACGUGUAGCGGUGAAAUGCGUAGAGAUGUGGAGGAACACCAGUGGCGAAGGCGACUCUCUGGUCUGUAACUGACGCUGAGGCGCGAAAGCGUGGGGAGCAAACAGGAUUAGAUACCCUGGUAGUCCACGCCGUAAACGAUGAGUGCUAAGUGUUAGAGGGUUUCCGCCCUUUAGUGCUGCAGCAAACGCAUUAAGCACU
rnacentral:rRNA from 2 species